rnacentral:tRNA from 1 species
UGGCCCAGUGGUAGAGUGCUUGCCUUGCAUGCAUGAGGCCCCAGGUUCAAUUCCUUG